CAAUAUAUAAAUAGAGCAGUAAACAAGAACUAGGGAGCUUAACAGGGCAAAAGUGCAAGGACAUACAUCAAAUAACAAUGAAUCCGUAGGUGAAACAUAGUCAAAAUAUAGGUAAUAUUCAUGUUUAUCAACUCCCCCAUGCUUGAACUAUUGCUUGUCCUCAAGCAAAACAGAUGGAAAUGUUAGCCCUUAUGUUUUGAUGAUGUUCUUACAACCACCAUUAUC